ACAGCAAACAGUCAAACUGACAACAUCUUGUUCUGCUGAUCAUCCACAGCAGUACGUUUAGCAUUCAUGCUAGCAGCAGGCUAUGACUGUCCACUGAGCACCAACACAGGUAGGAGUGAGCAGUGAUGAAGCAGGACUGUGGGCAAGUUUGAGCUACAAUCCUAUUGGCUUCUCAGUUUCUCCAAAGAAAAGGGGAAAAAUUCUUGGUGUUGUGAAGAUGUGAGUUGGUCCUGUUGUCGUGGGGCUGGAAGGAUGCUGGCAGUGAGAGGCUUUUCAUACAGUGUUCAGUAACAGAAUGAGAAGAAAGCCACUGCACAUGAAACAAGGUGCUCGUAGUGUUUGUUUACUGUGUUUGUGCCACAAUGUCAGAUCAGUUGUAGAUUCACAUGCAGACUUGUCCAGUGAAACCAAUGCAAGUACUGCAGUACAGAGCAAAGACUAAGCCAGGAGAGCUCUCCAACUUUCUGAAAGUAUCAGGAUAUUUGAGUGAUAAGAAAAAGUGGAUCAUGCAACAAUGUCCCUCAGCACACAAAACAAUCAAAGCAGAAUAAAUAUAAUGUUUUAGAUCAAACACUUACAGGGACCUGAAGAGAGAGAACCAACAAAAUGUCAUGGCUAACAGAGGAACUCAAGCACAGACUGAGUUCUGACAAACAAAAAGGUGACAGUUUAUUUACCAAAGGGUGAACCACAGUGCUCUAUAUAUGUACAGUGAGUUGGGGAGGGGGUCCAGGGCUCCAGGGAAAAGAGGGAAGGGAGUCCACACUCACUCCUCUUCAGUCACUCUUGUCCUGCUCUCCACUCACACAGCCACACACGGGAGUCACAGAGAGAGGAAGAGGAGUGGUGUUUGUGAGGAGGAGCAGCUGUCCUGCUGUGCUUUGUGUCAGGACGUCCUGAAGGAUCCAGUCUCUACCAGCUGUGGACACUGGUUCUGCAGACAGUGCAUCUCCUCAUACUGGGACCAGUCUGCUUCA